rnacentral:rRNA from 1 species
GACGAACGCUGGCGGCGUGCUUAACACAUGCAAGUCGAACGGAAAGGCCCUGCUUUUGUGGGGUGCUCGAGUGGCGAACGGGUGAGUAACACGUGAGUAACCUGCCCUUGACUUUGGGAUAACUUCAGGAAACUGGGGCUAAUACCGGAUAGGAGCUCCUGCUGCAUGGUGGGGGUUGGAAAGUUUCGGCGGUUGGGGAUGGACUCGCGGCUUAUCAGCUUGUUGGGGGGGUAGUGGCUUACCAAGGCCUUGACGGGUAGCCGGCCUGAGAGGGUGACCGGCCACAUUGGGACUGAGAUACGGCCCAGACUCCUACGGGAGGCAGCAGUGGGGAAUAUUGCACAAUGGGCGGAAGCCUGAUGCAGCAACGCCGCGUGCGGGAUGACGGCCUUCGGGUUGUAAACCGCUUUCGCCUGUGACGAAGCGUGAGUGACGGUAAUGGGUAAAGAAGCACCGGCUAACUACGUG